CUGCAUUGGUUGGCUGGGUGAC
rnacentral:miRNA from 1 species